AGGUCUAGACACAGAGACGAUGGUAGCCCUGGGCAACUCGUCGAAAAUCCAAGUUGCCUCCGGGGUGACGCCCUGAGUGAAAGUGAAGAAGGACGACAACAUCGACUGGUGAUGCUGUUGGUGGUGGUGAUGCUGCAGCGGCGUCGACGGCUCUGAUUUCAUUUGGACAUAGCGGGGACCACUAGUCCCGCUCCCGCCCAU
rnacentral:misc_RNA from 1 species